GGUGAACGCUGGCGGUAGGCCUAUCACAUGCAAGUCGAACGGCAGCACAGGAGAGCUUGCUCUCUGGGUGGCGAGUGGCGGACGGGUGAGGAAUACAUCGGAAUCUACCUUUUCGUGGGGGAUAACGUAGGGAAACUUACGCUAAUACCGCAUACGACCUUCGGGUGAAAGCAGGGGACCUUCGGGCCUUGCGCGGAUAGAUGAGCCGAUGUCGGAUUAGCUAGUUGGCGGGGUAAAGGCCCACCAAGGCGACGAUCCGUAGCUGGUCUGAGAGGAUGAUCAGCCACACUGGAACUGAGACACGGUCCAGACUCCUACGGGAGGCAGCAGUGGGGAAUAUUGGACAAUGGGCGCAAGCCUGAUCCAGCCAUACCGCGUGGGUGAAGAAGGCCUUCGGGUUGUAAAGCCCUUUUGUUGGGAAAGAAAAGCAACCAGUUAAUACCUGGUUGUUCUGACGGUACCCAAAGAAUAAGCACCGGCUAACUUCGUGCCAGCAGCCGCUGUAAGAC
rnacentral:rRNA from 1 species